CGCUCCCCGCUCCCCGCUCCCGUUUGCGUUCCAUAGUGAUCACUUCUUCUCAUCGCCAUCGCAAUGGUGAUCGCUUACCAGUUCCACCGCUUCGAUCAUCUCUUUCUUCUUCUUCUUCAUCCCCUCGAUGGCGCAGCCGACGUUUCUGCGUUCUCUGUCUUCGGCCUCCGAUUCAAAUUUUGGUGGUCGGAGGAAUGUUAGGGUUUCGACAACCGAGGGAGAGGCGCCACAAAAGUUUCGCAGCCCUAGGGUUUCGAUUUGCUCCAUCUAAACUUCCGUCGUAUUUGACAAAACAUUUUCAAUCUCAUCCUUAUACUUCUCAACCUUGUGUUUUUAAUCGCUUCUUAAUUUGUCUUUUUAUAUUUUCAUUUUCAUUUUCUCUGCUAUUGUAUUGAUUAUAUUGACCAAUCUGUUCAUGUUUUUUCCAGCAUGCAUCUAGUAGUGUAUACCACAAUGUUCAUCAUCCAACCAAGUUGACAUCCACGGCAGAUUUGGUUUGUGCUGUUUUAAACAUAAAACUGAGCAUAAAUUGGAGGAUCCUAUUUGUGAGGGAAAGGGACCGUAAACUUUCUAUGGUGAAACUGAGAAGGCCAUUGUGACCGAGACCGUUAGGAUCAGUAUGAUAGAAUGGAGGACGAUUAUCAGCACUUCUGAAUCACAUGAUAGAGAGUGGUCUCGUGAUGUGAAUCAUGAAUAUAGGUGCACUGAAAGAUCCCAUUCCAGAGAGUUUUAGUUUCUCAUGCUGCAGCUUGUUUUGCUGUCAAUCACUUUUCACAGCUGCUUGCUAUCAUUGGAGAACACAGAUCAGUGAUUGUGGUGAUGACAUUUGUGGAGCAGUUGUUAAUGUUAGACCUCGGCAGGAUAAAUAAUGCUUCCAAUUCCAAUGAAGCUGCACAGGUGGAAACUGUACACACAGGGCAUUGGCUGUUGUUUGGACUUCCCCUCUGGUAGCUGCUCUUGGUGUGUCCCUUACUAUUCCUGUAGCAAUGUUGGAAGAUAUCAUCCGUAGCUGGCAAUAUUCGGCAGUUUAUAUCAUUGGGUCAGCCCUAAGGCAGAGCCAUGGAAUUACAAUAUUUAUUGUUUCCCUUUCUGUUGUGGAGUGGUCAUUCAGCACAUCUGAUCUACUUCUCUGUAAGGUUCGCCUUUUCGCAUAUUUCAAUUUUCCACCGUCAUGCAGUAGUAAGUUGAUAAUGGCAUUCCAGUUACUUCAAUAUGCAUUCCAUAAUCAGGCACAUAUUUAUUAUGUCUGUCUGUAACAAAAUAAAUAAACAAUUUAGAAUAUUUAAGCAUGCAAGAAUUGGAGCUGCCUCAACAAUGAUAAGUUUCUCUCUCAUGAAGGAAUUUGAGUUUUUAAAGUGACAGGAGUCAGACUUAGUAUAUUCUUAGUAGGAACAAUCCGAAAGUUUUACAUCUUCAAUAUAUUUAAUUGAUUUAAUUAACUCAUCUUGUAAGUUUGUAAUUGAUAAAAGUUAUUUACGGGUAGACAUCUAAAAGGUUGUGCCACACCAUGUUUCCGAAGGCAGUGCUCCAUCAGCCAAGUACCAAAAUUCAUAAUAAUUAAGUCUGACUUUGGAGUUGGCAAGCCAUGUAACAUGAGAUUUUUCACAGGUAACAAAAUUAUUGAUAUCUCUCCCUCUGCAUGACUUUGGAGUUGUCAAGCCAUGCAACAUGAGAUUCUGUUUGCUAUCCUAUUUUGUGAUUUUUGGUUCUGCAUUACGUUGAUCUUUGAUUAUGUAGUAGCUUGGACGAUAAUGGCAUCAAUUCUGUCUAGUCAUUAUGCAGCUUCAUCCAUGCUCAGGUUCUUUUUAAUAAAAUGGUUGUGUUCAUGUUGAUGGUUCUUUUUCUGUUUGGUGAGAAUAGCAUGAAAAAUACUGGCUAGUCAUUACGUGUGUGUGUGUGUUCGUUUUCUGUGAUAAUUUUUAUUUACAAGUUGGCGGUGUAUUUUUCAAGCUAUUUUAAAAUGCUUACAUUGAAAAUUGAUUUGAUUUUCCGGAGAUUUCUAUAACUUUAUUUUUCAUUCAAAGAUUAGGAUGCGAUAUGGAUGGGUGGAUGUUUAUUGAUUAUUUUGGUAAGCUAAUGUUGAU